GCCCUGUGCUGAGUGCUGGGGAUACAGAGCUGGAUAAGACAUGGUCCCUGCCCUCAAGGAGUACUCUGUUUAAUGGAGGAGAUGGACAAGAAAGCUCCUGUUGCAGUGCAGUUGGUUGGUUUAUAAGUGGUUCCUGCUAAUCUAUAAAAUCAGCUAUGCCACUGGCAUUGUUGGCUACAUGGCUGUCAUGUUUACCCUCUUUGGUCUUAACUUAUUAUUCAAGAUCAAACCAGAAGAUGCCAUGGACUUUGGCAUCUCCCUUCUCUUCUAUGGCCUCUACUAUGGAGUUCUGGAACGGGACUUUGCAGAAAUGUGUGCAGACUACAUG
rnacentral:lncRNA from 1 species